GAAUUUUGAAGUAUGGUACAAGAGCUGGAUCAAGACCUUUAGCAGUGCACGGCCAACCUGUCCUGAUGUACGCCCUCACCUGUUGUAGAAUAAGACAGUCUUUACAUGCAGCAGUCAGCUCUUCCAUGUCUUGCGGACCACCUAGCAAUUCUCAUGCCUGCUCUCCCAAGGCCCUUUGUGGUGAGCAGCGUUGUCAGAGGACUGUGAUCAGUGCGAAGAGUAAAAUGUCUACCCCACAGAGCACGGAGUGGUUCCACCACCACAGCGUAGCGUGGAACAAACUUGGAGUAAAAGGAGGUGAGCCCCAGGAAUGAGCGUAGCGUAGGA
ensembl:lncRNA